GAGAGUUAAACAGUACGUGAAAUUGUUGAAAGGGAAACGAUUGAAGCCAGUCGUACCUUCGGGUAAUCAGCCUUUCGGGUGCGAUUCUGUGGAGUUUGAGGAGCUUUAACACCUUCAUGCUUUGCAUAUUCGUGCUCUUGGGUGUACUUGCCCGUGUGGUUGGUUAACAUCAAUUUCGGGCACCAUAAAAUGGCUGGAGGAAUGUAGCUUCGAUCUUGUAUUGAAGUGUUAUAGCCUUCGGUAGAUGUGGUGAUCGAGAUUGAGGAUUGCAACGGAUACCUUUCGGGGCUACCUGUCUGAUCUCUGAUCGUUGCUUUGGUGCUGAAAGCGUGCUUAUGAUGUUAAGGGUAUUACGGUCAAAAGGUUAGAACGGAUUAAAUUCGUUAAGGAUGUUGACGUAAUGACUUUAAACGA
rnacentral:rRNA from 1 species